rnacentral:lncRNA from 1 species
AAGAAUCGCACUGCUUAACCCCUUAAAUCGUCACCUAUGGUCACACCCAUGGUUGCGCCUCACUGUCUGUAGUCAUGCCUAGUCCAGGCGAGCAUAUUCAUGGUAGAACAUCAUCAAAUCAUGGUGGAACUAUAAUUCAGUAGUUUACUCAAAUUGUGGUGGAGAUUGAGGAAGAAGGGAAGCCUUGACUGUAGGAAGUAGAAGCAGGUGAUUGGGCAGAUGACAGCGAGGCUAUGGUCAUAGUUGAGACGACGAUGCCG